AUGAUGGAGAACAUAAUGGAAGACCUGAGACAAAGACUGCAGGAGAAGAUCCAAGAGACAACGAUGCUGCAGCGAGAGGAGACUGAGAGCCUUAUGGAGAUCAUGAGGGAGGAACUAGAGCACAGAGAGGAUGAGAUUGAGCGAAAGAGGCAAAAAUUAGAAAAGAUGGAUGAAGAGAUCGUAAAAAUGAAGCAGGAACUGAUGGAAGGAGAUGAAAAGGUGGAGAAAACGAAGAGAAAGAUUGUGAAAAGGAACGGAGUGAUUGAGAGAAUGAGACAAGAACAAGAAGAGAAGGACGAACAAAUCAAAUCACUGAGACAGGAGACAGAAAUACAGAGACAGAAACUGGAAGAGAAAGAUGAACAGAUUAAUCAGUUGAAGAAAGAGAUAAACGACAUGACAGAGAGUAUGGGACGUGUCCUGAUAUGGAGGGAUGAAGAGAUGAAAAGACUGAGACGGGAGCUAAAUAUCAGCACAGUGAGUUUUAUACAAGACGUGGACCUAGAUUAUAGGACCAAGAUAAUGAAACAAGAACUAAAAGAGAAGAGUGAAGAGAUUGAAAGAGUGAGAGAAGAGCUGGAGGAGAAGGAAACACAAAUUGAGAGCCUGAGGCAGGAGCAAGAUUACAAGAUGGAGAGAAUGAGACGAGAACUGAAAGAAAAGGAUGAGGAGAUGGAGAGUCUCAGACAAGAACUAAAUGGCAAGAUUGAGAGAAAGAGGCAGAAACUGGAAGAAAAAGAUGGAGAGAUGGAGAGAAUGAAGAGGGAAUCAGAAUACAGUACAGAAAGAAUGAGACGAGAACUGGAGGAGAAGGAUGAAGAGAUGGAGAGAAUGAGGAGAGAAUCAGAAUACAGUGCAGAAAGAAUGAGACGAGAACUGGAGGAGAAGGAUGAAGAGAUGGAGAGAAUGAGGAGAGAAUCAGAAUACAGUGCAGAAAGAAUGAGACGAGAACUGGAGGAGAAGGAUGAAGAGAUGGAGAGAAUGAGGAGAGAAUCAGAAUACAGUGCAGAAAGAAUGAGACGAGAACUGGAGGAGAAGGAUGAAGAG
rnacentral:lncRNA from 1 species